UGUAACUCGGUGAAUGCUUUAAAAUCACAGUCACGACAACAAAUGGCAGCGAUUUUUCGUUUUUGCGAUCAUGUAACAUAGAUCUUCCACCGAAAUGACGUCAUCUUGGAUCGUUCUCUGUCACGGUCACUUGUAGGGAUUUAUUCAAGUUUUAGGCCUGUUUUUACGUAUCGAUAGUCAGUUUAAGCGAUUAUGUAAGCAUAGUGAUCAUAGAAAUAGGUGACACUGAAGUUGUCAAAGUCAAUCGCUAUAAAAACUAAUAGAGAGCAGUGUUUUAACAAAGUUUACUUGACGCCUGUGAUUCAUUAUUUACAAAUAAAAGGACUUUUAGGAUUUUUUUGAAUUUUGUACUAUAAAGUGUUUACUGACAUCGCCGUGUCCUACAUGCAUUUGUAUUGUACGCGGAAACGGAUCUAAAAGGAUGACUUUGCAUGCUGAGAUCCACAGAGAUCUAAGUGAUCCAUUACAGCUUUGUGAGACCGAGUUCAUUGCAAAACUUUCGUGUCGCGAUACCAGCAGGUUUUAGAAGAAAUACAAAGUCUUCGAACAACUGCUGUUCGCAAUAAACUAGAAGUCUUGGCAGCUUUAAGCAUUUAUGCCAAUGGAUCAUACAAAUGUCUCUAUGAUGGCUAAGGCAUCUUUUACCAAAUGCCUACAUGAGUCACUGACGCUCCUGAAUACCCCAGCUGUUUAAAAAAAAUGUGUUAAGUUCCCUUUGCAUUAAACACAAAAUCAUUAUAAAUAAAUAUGUGAUGCCAAUCUAAUAAUAACAUAGUGGAUGCUCAAUUUGGUAGUGCAUCAUAUGACUUGUACAUGUGGAACCAGUGCAAUAAAACCACUUGAGGAAAACCUGCGCAAUAGGGACUGCUAUUGGUUGUUAGGUGACCAAUGUUUGCAUGAUGACCCCCAUCUUGGGAGCUGCUCCUAGAUCCCAUGAAGAUUUGCACAACAUUGCUGUGUCAGAAAUACUGUGAAGCCUUGUAGUUCGGUGCAUAUUGUAAAGUGUUUCCUCACUCCAGAACCAUGAACUCUGGUUUCCUAAACCCUCAAGCUAUGCAACCGAAGGAGGAGACUUAUCACAGGAGAAUCACUAAUAAUUUUGAACAAGUGAAGACCUUAACAAUGUUUCAACCAACACCUAAAGAAGCUUUCACUUGGCUGUUAGAUCAAGGGCUGGAUACAGAAAACAGUAAUCCUUGUGAUGGCGCGUAUUGUCCAAGGAUUCCUCACUCUAAACCAUGAUAACAAGUUGCUAGAACCCUCAAGCUAUGCAGACAAAGGACUGGAUAUAUUUUUUCGUGACCAAGCCUUCUGUAUAAUUAUUUAUACUUAAACCAUACAAAGCACUAUCUAGCCCCAAAGUAGGCAUACAGAGUAGCUUGUGUUGUGGGUACUAAGAUACUUGAUAUUAUAAUAUUCAUUUACAUUUAUAUACUACCUAUAAACACUUAUAUAAUGUAUAAAGACACACAAGACACUGGAAAAAACCCAUACUCUUCACACAAAUAUUUUCCAGGUGUGGGAAUCGAACCCAUGACCGUGGAUGCAGGAGCACUACUUACUGCGCCACGCGUAUGUGUUUUUAUUUUGAAGCAAAUUAUUAAAGUUGAUAAUUCAAAUUGUAGUCAUGUUUUUAAUUAAUCUAUAAUUAAUUUUUAAUUUACAUUUUUGUUAAAUAUUUACCUAUACUUCAGUCUAUUUUUGUUAGAGGGGGUACCUAUAUGUGUAAGUAGGGUCGUUUCUUGAUUAAAUUAAACUAAAGAAUGAAAGAUAUAUAUUAUAACAAAAUUUGUCAACAACAAUAUAUCAAGUCUGAAUAAAAAAUACCAACACAAGUAAAUAUAUUUUUUAUUUUUAAGUAAUAGAUGUUACACAAAUAUAGAGUAUCUACUUUAACUACCUGGCCCUACCAACUUAACAUUAAACAACAUUGUUUUUAAUCAAAUCAUUAUUUAUUUAUUUCCUACAAUGUGGUAGGUACAUGUUUUGUUCUUAAAAUUUUUGAAUUGUCGUCGUCGUCGUCAUCAACCCAUAUUCGGCUCACUGCUGAGCUCGAGUCUCCUCUCAGAAUGAGAGGGGUUAGGCCAAUAGUCCACCACGCUGGCCCAAUGCGGAUUGGCGGACUUCACACACGCAGAGAAUGAAGAUAAUUCUCUGGUAUGCAGGUUUCCUCACGAUGUUUUCCUUCACCGAUUGAGACACGUGAUAUUUAAUUUCUUAAAAUGCACACAACUGAAAAGUUGGAGGUGCGUGCCCCGGAACGGGUUCGAACCCACACCCUCCGGAAUUGGAGGCAGAGGUCACAUUCACUGGGCUAUUAGGGAUAAUAAUAAUAGUUAAAUAAUAUUUCCUCCUAAUAAUAGAUAAUAAAACAUAUUUUGAUGUGCAAUUUUACAAUAAAAUUUUUAUCUAAUACUAUGUAAUACUGAAAUUAACCAAAUGAUAAUAAUCAUAUUCUUUAUAUACAGUGAUGUCAUAAUUAACUAUAUUAAAUUAAAAUGAAAUUAUAUUUGACAAUUUUCUCUCAUAUGCAAUGUCAUUAUUGAUAAUAAUCUUAUAAAAAAUCUGUUCAUUAAAUGUUUGUUUAAUUCUUUCUUCAUGAAUCGUUCAUAGAGAUGAAGGAUUCAGAAUCACCAAUUUUUUCAAGGUGUUUUGCACCUCAAUGGUGACCAGCGACAUGGAGACUUCCAUAGUCAGUCCCUGGCACUCAAAGUUUAGAGCCCACAUCUUCAUGUUGAUCUGAAAUGUAGAAAAUAUUUUUUUAUUACAUGAACUACAUAUGCCCCCGGUUUCUUUAAGUAGAUCUCAUAUUGAGAUAAGAAAUGGCCUAUGUAUUAUAUCUUGAUUAAGAGUUUAUAUAAAUGACAAAUCUAGGGGGGGUUAAUUGAUAUAUUUAUACCUCAGGUAUAUUACUUGGUUCUACAAUAUAUUUCUGUGAGAUGGUGAUAACAAAAAUAAUACUUUGUUGUAUUUAUGUUGAGCUUCUUUUCAGACGAAGAAUGUUUGUGAUCCUUUAGUUUCAGGUUAAUGAAUAUUGUUAUCAUAAACAAUACAUUAUUGUAAAUGAUAACAAUAUUCAUUAUAUGUGUGUGAUAUUUAACAAAUCAAAAUGAUGAUAUUUAACAAAUCAAAAUGUGCAAUAUUUAUUAAGCUGAACAUGCACAUAAUAAAAGAAAAUAUAAAGUACAAAUUAUUAUUUGAAUUAGCAAUUAUUAUCAUUAAGAAUUACAUACACUGGAUUAGGUAAUACUAUUCAUUCAUUCAUGAUUAGACCAAUAGUCCACCACUCUGACCCAAAGCGGAUUAGCAGACUUUACAUAAGCAGAAAAUUAAGAGAAUUAUCUGGUAUGCAGGUUUCCUCACGAUGUUUUCCUUCACCAUUUGAUACAUGUGAUAUUUAAUAUCUUAAAAUGUACACAACUGAAAAGUUGGAGCUGCAUGCCCCGGACUGGAUACAAACCCACACCCUCUGGAAUCUGAGGCAGAGGUUACAUCCACUGGGCUAUUGCUGUGCUUAUGGACCUGUAUCCCUGGCAAACCCUCUAGUCUAUACUCUGCAGCAACUGGGCUUUUAUGGGAUUAAACUGAACUCUUUUGUUUUUUGAUUUGCCUUAUAUUUUAUCCAGUUUUGUAGGAGAUACAUAUACUUGUAGGAUUUAACUUAACUAUAUAUUGUAAUUGAAAUUUGAAUUAAUUAUUUUAAGUGGCUAGCCUCAAUCAUCAUAAAAAAAUUACUAAUCAAGGUAGGAUUUUAUAUUUAGCCUUAAUGUAACUAAAACAAAAACCUACAAAUACAAACAAUUCUAAUACAUCUGCAUAAUAAGACAAAGUUUGAUUUUGAUUAUUCGUGUUGUACUUUGCAAGCCUUAUAGUUUGUGCCGGUUUUUGUGAAACGAUUUGGAUGAAAUUUCUAGUGCGUCACCAGCCAAACAUACAGCUUGUAGACCAGAAUCUCAAAUGUUACCACCGAGAUUCUGGCUUUCGGAUCUAUACCCGUAGGAGGAUGCGGGGUUAAGUAAACAAAAAAAACACUUUUACAGUAAUCACCGGUAUUUGGCUUCUAUAUUUUUAGAUGAACCUUUUUUUUACAAUAUAAAAGUAAUGCUAAACCCUUGAGAAACCCUAAAAGGACAAAAUAUUAAUGGGUUAAAUUACAUAAAAAAAACCAGGUUUCCUAAAUGUUAAGUUACUUUGUACAUACUUUGUAAAUAAACAGUGGUUAUCUCAAA